rnacentral:rRNA from 1 species
GUGCCAGCCGCCGCGGUAAUACGUAGGUGGCAAGCGUUGUCCGGAUUUAUUGGGCGUAAAGAGCGCGCAGGCGGUUCGCAUAGUCCGAGGUGAAAUCUCCCGGCUCAACUGGGAGGGGUCUUCGGAUACUGGCGGGCUUGAGGAGAGCAGAGGUGAGCGGAAUUCUCGGUGUAGUGGUGAAAUGCGUAGAUAUCGAGAGGAACACCAGCGGCGAAGGCGGCUCACUGGGCUCCACCUGACGCUGAGGCGCGAAAGCGUGGGGAGCGAACCGGAUUAGAUACCCUAGUAGUCC